GCGAGAUCUAAGCGGCUCUCGCGGGAUUUCACCCCCUCUUGUCAAUAUUGACAUUUUUGGCAGGUUUUCCAACUGUGAGGUUGUGAAGGUUGUGGAGUCUCUCUUUCUCUUGAGGGAAAAGCGAGAACUUCUCACCAUGAUAUGUGAUGAGAUGUUAGUAUUUGAAAUAAAGAAUUUGAAGAGACCCCCCAAAGGCUAUCUAGUCCAGCCCCAAUCAGCCAGGAAGGAAAAGCACAGUCAAAGCACUCUCGACAGAUGGCCAUCCAGCCUCUGCUUAGAAGCCUCCAAAGCUGUUGAUAGCAAGGAACUGGAAAGAAUACCUUUUUGGAAAGGAGCCGGGGAAGACAACCCUGACAUCCCAGAGUCUGGAGCCCGCAGGAAACACACAAGAAAUUGGAAUGAUCCAUCAUAAAGCACUUCUCGCUCUGUUGCGCGGUAAACCUUUGCGGCUCUUUGAAUCCAUCGAUUAAAAGCCCUGUGAUUAAAACCUCCAUAACGCACCCACUCCAUUUUAUUUAUUCCUUGAUCAAACUCAACAUGGCCAUAUAGCCUGGAAAACACGCAGCAAACUAGUGAUUCCGGCCAUAGAAUACAUAGUUCACUCCCAUUCCUCACUUUUCAGAUUGUCUGCAGUCACAAGGACUAGAGACUUGAUUUUUUUUUGGAGGGAAAUGUAUCAGUCCAGUUCUGGUUGUGUAGUCUAAAUUUACACUCACGUAUGAUGGUAUUACUACACCGCCUCUCUAGAAAUUUGCUAGGUCCUUCUAAGGAUACUAUAGGAUUAUCUGAAGGACCUAGAAAAUUCCUACAAAGGAUGUAAUUUAUUGUAUGUGGGUUGAUGCAAUGGGUCCUGUGGGUACAAAGGGUCUAAUGUAUGUGCUUUGUAUGACAGCAAAAAAAGAGAAAAGGAAUUACUGUAUAUACUCGAGUAUAAGCCUAAUUUUCAGCCCUUUUUUAAUACUGAAAAAGCCUCCCUCGGCUUAUACUUGGGUGAGGGUCCUGGUUGGCUUAUAUUUGGGUCAGUUUAUACUCGAGAAUAUAUGGUACAUUUAUUAUUUUUCCUCUAUUAUUAUUGGUAUUAUUACAUUUAUUUUUCUCUAUUAUUGUUGCUAUUAUUACAUUUAUUUUACUCUAUUUUUAUUAUUAUUAUUAAUACAUUUAUUAUUUCACUCUGAUAUUAUUAUUAUUGCAUUUAUUU